rnacentral:rRNA from 1 species
GAGCGGACCGACGGGAGCUUGCUCCCUUAGGUCAGCGGCGGACGGGUGAGUAACACGUGGGUAACCUGCCUGUAAGACUGGGAUAACUCCGGGAAACCGGGGCUAAUACCGGAUGCUUGAUUGAACCGCAUGGUUCAAUCAUAAAAGGUGGCUUUCAGCUACCACUUACAGAUGGACCCGCGGCGCAUUAGCUAGUUGGUGAGGUAACGGCUCACCAAGGCGACGAUGCGUAGCCGACCUGAGAGGGUGAUCGGCCACACUGGGACUGAGACACGGCCCAGACUCCUACGGGAGGCAGCAGUAGGGAAUCUUCCGCAAUGGACGAAAGUCUGACGGAGCAACGCCGCGUGAGUGAUGAAGGUUUUCGGAUCGUAAAACUCUGUUGUUAGGGAAGAACAAGUACCGUUCGAAUAGGGCGGCACCUUGACGGUACCUAACCAGAAAGCCACGGCUAACUACGUGCCAGCAGCCGCGGUAAUACGUAGGUGGCAAGCGUUGUCCGGAAUUAUUGGGCGUAAAGCGCGCGCAGGCGGUUUCUUAAGUCUGAUGUGAAAGCCCCCGGCUCAACCGGGGAGGGUCAUUGGAAACUGGGGAACUUGAGUGCAGAAGAGGAGAGUGGAUUCCACGUGUAGCGGUGAAAUGCGUAGAGAUGUGGAGGAACACCAGUGGCGAAGGCGACUCUCUGGUCUGUAACUGACGC